GCUGUGGGUCUCUUUCUUGUCCAUGGUAUAGUAGUUGAAGCUCACUGCUUUAGUGUGCAUCCUCUUUACAUCACAUGACUAGAAAGUGCACUCACUUC
rnacentral:pre_miRNA from 1 species